rnacentral:rRNA from 1 species
CUUGGUCAUUUAGAGGAAGUAAAAGUCGUAACAAGGUCUCCGUAGGUGAACCUGCGGAGGGAUCAUUACAAGAACGCCCGGGCUACGGCCUGGUUAUUCAUAACCCUUUGUUGUCCGACUCUGUUGCCUCCGGGGCGACCCUGCCUUCGGGCGGGGGCUCCGGGUGGACACUUCAAACUCUUGCGUAACUUUGCAGUCUGAGUAAACUUAAUUAAUAAAUUAAAACUUUUAACAACGGAUCUCUUGGUUCUGGCAUCGAUGAAGAACGCAGCGAAAUGCGAUAAGUAAUGUGAAUUGCAGAAUUCAGUGAAUCAUCGAAUCUUUGAACGCACAUUGCGCCCCCUGGUAUUCCGGGGGGCAUGCCUGUUCGAGCGUCAUUUCACCACUCAAGCCUCGCUUGGUAUUGGGCAACGCGGUCCGCCGCGUGCCUCAAAUCGUCCGGCUGGGUCUUCUGUCCCCUAAGCGUUGUGGAAACUAUUCGCUAAAGGGUGUUCGGGAGGCUACGCCGUAAAACAACCCCAUUUCUAAGGUUGACCUCGGAUCAGGUAGGGAUACCCGCUGAACUUAAGCAUAUCAAUAAGCGGAGGA